GCUGACGCACUUCCGGCCUUCGGGGCUGCAGGGUUGCCGGGCUGCUGCUCCUGCCGGGGCUCCGGAGCGUCCCUGGGCGGGAGUUCCGCACCUUUAUCAUGUGUUCGCUGGCUGACACCCAGCAGGCACCGAGCAUCUGUGAAGUGACUUCUUUUGUGGGUGACACGUAACGCACAGAAACUGGAUAUUGGACUUAGGAUGAGCUCUCCGGCUUCCUUCGGGACUGUGCAUCUACCUACCUACCUACCUACCUACGCGUACCCAACUCGCCUCCAACGUUAUGACUUCUGUUUCACCAAGUUGUAAAUCUUCCCUGCCCCUCCGUGACCUACAAACUCCUGUGCAUACCCAGCUCAUAGCACAGCUCCAGAAACAUCUGUGCGAAGACCGAAGCACUUUUUUACAAAGAUUAAGCUUUUUGCUUUGUUAGUAUCUUUCAAAGUUGAACUAACUUGAAGAAUACAGUAACGUUAUACAUCCGUGGAAGUCUUUCCAGAUCCAGUGCAAUAUGCUCUACCCCCUUCUUUCAGCUCUUCUUUCCACUCUGGGCUUUUGUGCUUCCAGGCUGCCUCCACCCUCCUUCCCUCAGCUCAUUCACUGUCCAGGAACAGGGCUUCUUGACACAUCAAUCCAGUCUUUUCACGUCCUUUCUUAAAAGCCUUCCAUGACUUUUGCACUUAAAGUCCAGGCACCUGGGUCCUGCAUGAUCUGGCGUGUCUUGCCAGCCUCAGUUUUUACCACCUUCUCUCACUUGUCUGGAUCCACUCCGGGCUCCUCUCAUUUGUUUGACCACACCUCUUCUACCUCAGGGCCUUUGAACAGAGUCGGGCGCUAUUCCUGUCCCCACUUCUGCUGGUUGCAUGGGUCACUCCUUUUCACUCUUAAGGGCUUCACCUAGUUGUUACCUCACUUCCCACCACUCUGUCUUCACAGGUCCUCCAUUUAUUUGGUACCUCAGGGUUUGGUUGGUUUUCCUCACAGUACUUCUGUCACCAAGUCCUUAUUUCAUAUGUCUGCCUCCUUACCCACUUUUGUUGUUGAUGUUACUUUUAGUUUGUCUUUUCUAUUGGAAUGUAAGCGCCAGCAAAACAGAGAGGGGUCCUCUCUUUUUCACCAUCGUAUCACUAGUGCCUCCCAAAGUGGCCUGCUAUGUCACAGGUGCUCAGGGACCAUCUGUUGAGUAAAAUGAGUGAAUAAAUGGCGACGGUCUCUGUCUUAGAACACAGUCAGGAACCAGGAUAUCAGGAGAAAUCAAAUAGGGAAACUUUGAGUGCUUAAUAUAAACUGCACCAAAUCUAUGUAGUAUAUUUAAAAAACACAAGAGUCUUAAAGUCAUAAGUUGUCAAAAUUCAAUUUUUGGGGGUUGUAGGACUGAAGUUCUUGGUAGAACUGAGGUCCCCCUCAUGCCUCAGCUUCUAGAGGCGGCAUGCUUUCCUCUACCCGAGGCUCCGUCUUGUGUUGACAAGCCAGCAGAUGUGCCUCAGAUUCUCCUCAUGCUUCAAAUCUGAUGCGCUCUUCUGCCACCAGCUCAAGAAUCCUCUACUGUUAAAGAAAUCAUGCAAGUAGUUUAGCCCCACCCAGAGAGCAGUCUUGCUGUCAUAAGGACAACUAAUUUGUAAUCUUAAUUAUGUUGCUGGGUGAACUUGGGAGACCCCAGGCCCUGAGGCUUUGACUUAGCUGGUCCCAAAGAUAUCGCCAAAGGGUCUUGUCUCGUGACAUAAAGAAUUUAAGGACAGACACAACACAGUAAUGACACCUUCUCAGAGAUGUGAGAGCGCCAGUGCAUUGCUGCCCACUGAAGUUUGGGUCUUUUUUACUGACAGUUGUCAGUAAGGGGUGGAAUAUUCAUUACCUGGGGCGGGGAUUUCGUGGAAGCAAGGUUUCGUGCUAGUUUGAUUUGGCUUCUUUUGGCUUUGUUUUGGAGUACUGCCAGGGUGGGCCUCUGACUUUCCCUACAGCUGGCCAUGAGCUCCUCCUUACUGGCCUCCAGGCAUCCUGUUAGAGCCUCACUGACUGCCUGCUCUGACAAUUAGAUCUUAAUUAUACCUUUGCCGUGGAAACAAACAGUCAAAAGAGAAAUACUGGAGGACAGAGAUCAUGGGGCCAUCUUUGAAUUCUGCCUACCACAGUCCUACUAUUUAUUUGUUAGGCAGUUGAUGGAUAUUUGGGUUGUUUCUACUUUGGAGUUACUAUGACUAAAUCUGCUCUGAACAUGUAUUUAGUUUUUAGUGGAGUGAACACUCGUUUCUUUAGGAUCUGUAUCCAGGAGUGGAAUUACUUAGUAACACCUGUGUUCCACUUGUUAAAAAAUGAUGACACUAUCACUCAGUAUCUGAAACUCGAGGACAGAGCUGAAGACGUGUGCUGACUAGGUAAAGUCCUUCCAAACAGAAGAGAUUGCUGAUCUUCUCUAGGCGCUUUGAGAAGCACGGAGUUCAGUAUUGCUGGGUCUUAAUGGGGUCAAGGGGGCUGACAUCAUCUGUGGAAGCGUGGUUUCAUGGAACAGACUGUUGUCCCUUGUUGGGACUUAGAUGUGUUUAUUGGGAUGAGUUAUUCUGAAUUGGCUGAUUUUCAGAAGCUGUGGUGUCACUGAUUGAUUGACUUGCAAAAAUAUGUUCUCUGAAGUGAAUUGUUGAAAUGAUUGAACAAACCGCAUCUGGGCUACUGGACACCAUGGGUACAGACCAAGCAGUCUUUUCCUAGGAAUGAGCGAAUUUUUUUUCAUUCUAAAGCUUUUUUUUUUUUUUUUAAGUCUUUAUUUAUUUAUUUGACACAGAGAGAGAGAGAUCACAAGUAGACAGAGAGGCAGGCAGAGAGAGGGGGAAGCAGGCUCCCUCCUGAGCAGAGAGCCUGAUGGGGGCUCGAUCCCAGGACCCUGAGAUCAUGACCCGAGCUGAAGGUAGAGGCUUAACCCACUGAGCCACCCAGGCACCCCUCAUUCUAAAGCUUUAGUAGAUAGUUCUAAAGAAUUUUCCGGGGGCAUCUCGGUGGCUCAGUUAAGCGUCUGCCUUGGUCUCAGGUCAUGAUCUCCUGAGGAGAUCCUCAGGAUCCUGGGAUUGAACCUCUGUGGGCUUCCUGCUCAGCAGAGAGCCUGCUUCUCCCUCUCCCUCUGCUCUUCCCCCCAGCUCAUGCGCUCUUGCUUGCUCUCUCAGCUAAAUAAAUAAAAUCUUAAAAAAAAAAAAAAAAAGAAUUUUCCAAAGUGUUGUAUACCUUGAACUAUCAGCAUUCACAGCUGAGCACUCCAUUCGUUCCGUAUGCUUGUGAUUCACCCUUAAAUUAUAAGAAAUGUAUUCACUUUUUGAAUUUUUUAAAUGAAGUGUGUCAUUGUUUGGUAUUUCCAUUCUCCUGGCAACAGGGACCUUAACACUCUAACAUUGAACUGAACAUGCACCACAUCUUGUCAUUAUACGUUCGAUUUUAAUUUCAUACCCUUCCCCUUUUGUGUAGUAAAACAUUCUUACGUAAAAACAAAAAUGUGAGGAAGGAUAGCCUUCGAGAAAUUGCAGGUCGCCUCUGCCCCAACACUCCUCUUCCAUCUCAAAGACAAAUAAUGUUGCUUGGGAAUUCAAAUAGAUUCUUCUUUUUUAAUACAAACGCUAGCAUGUUAGUUACACUCGUUUCUCACCUUCCUCUUUUCAGUUAACUGUCUUGGCAGCCCUUUCAUAUUUGUCGUAAAGAGCUUUUUUUAAAACUGCAUCGUAAUGCAAUAAACCAGCUCCUGCAGUCUGCGGAAGCAGUGCCCCGCGGGCCCACGCUUGUGUCGUUCCCGGCCUUUUCCUGUCGCAAAGCGGCCUUUCAGUGAUAACCUUGUAUGUACGGCACUUUUCGUAUGACUGAAUAUAUUACUUUUUAGGGAUUUUUUUGCCAUAAUCGUUUAUAUUUACUGUCAGAUUUCGUCAGUUCUUGGGCUUCCGUUAUUUCUUGUUUCACACCUUCUCUCUGAUUUCAGUUGUAUUUGCUGUGCUGCACCCUUGACUUUACGAGGGGUCCGUGGGUGGCGUGUGACUUUGCUGCGCCCACUGCUUACUUCUCUCUGGCUGCGGGCGGGUUCUGCGUUGUUCAUCCUUCUGCGCACUCUGCUUGUGUUCUGGACUCCGGUUCUGUUCGUCUGGUCCGUUUCCCUUGUAGGCCAUCCGGCUCUUCCUCUGGCAGCUUUUAAGAUCGUCUCUUUGGGGUGCCUGGGUGGCUCAGUGGGUUAAGCCGCUGCCUUCGGCUCAGGUCAUGAUCUCAGGGUCCUGGGAUCGAGUCCCGCAUCGGGCUCUCUGUUCGGCAGGGAGCCUGCUUCUCUCCCUCCUUCUCUCUCUCUCUGCCUACUUGUGGUCUCUGUCAAAUAAAUAAAUAAAAUCUUAAAAAAAAAAAAAAAUCGUCUCUUUGUCCGCAACAGCUGCCGCUUCACUGUAUUCUGUCUCCGUGUGUGCUCUUGAUUGGAGAAGUCACUCCUUCAGCUCUGGAAAAUUCUUAGUUUUAUUAUCAUCAGUGAUUUUUUUCUCAGCCAUUCAGUACUUUCUUGUCUUCCGAAGCUCGUGUAUCAAAGUCGUAUUCUCUUGGCACAGGUCAUUUCAUCUGAAUUGCCCCGUAGUUCCCGUUUCCUGCUGCAUUCGUUAGUGUCGUCAGAUACUGAACAGUCAAAAACUUCUGUUACUCUUCAGCUGGGUCACUUCUGUGGUGUAUCCUCUAGUGUAUUUUCAGUGUCAAAGUUUUUUCUAUUCUAAGAUUUUGAAUUCUUUUUUAUAUCUACCUGAUGUUAUUGGUUUCACUGUUUUGGUUUUGGUUUUGGUUUCACUGUAGUUUUCAAAAUCACUUACUAUAAAAAUUUCUUGGACUAUGGAUAGAAUAAAUUUCAUCCCAAGUGAAUUUCUUUUUUUUAUUUUUAAGGGUUUUAUUUCUUUGACAGAGACACAGUGAAAGAGGGAACACAAGUAGGGGGAGUGGGAGAGGGAGAAGCAGGCUUCCUGCCAAGCAGGGAGCCCGAUGCAGAGCUCUAUCCCAGGACACUGGGAUCAUGACCUGAGCUGAAGGCAGAUGCUUAACAACUGAGCCACCCAGCACCCGCCCCCCCCCAAAAAAAAGUGAAUUUCUAUUUGAAUUGUUGAUUGUCUUUCUUAGGGUUAGAGUUUUGCAUGUUUUGGAAUUUCUUUGGAAUGGGAAAGCGUUUUAGAUUUCUUUUACUUCAUUCAGCAUCACAUCUAAGACCCUUUCUGGGUCUUAUGCUUAGGGCUUUCAUGUUGCUGCCCUGAGCGGUUAUUAGGUGGGCAGACCUGGUAUGGGGCCAGGUCUCAGCGUUGGUUACUGCAAAUGAGGCUGGUCCUGUCGCUGGGCCCCUGGCCUGUAGCUCCUGAUAAAACCAGAGGCCAAGUCAGCAGCAGAUCAUUUUUCCCCUGCCACAACCCUCACCCCCAUGAGUGUGGAACUCCCUUGAUGCCCCUUGUGUCAGAAAGUGAGCCCGGAUGCCUGCGCUCUGUCACAGACCGUCACCUUGAAUCUUUAAUCCCUCCAGAGCUGAAUUCUAGGCUGCUGCUGGCUGCGUACAGACCCAUUAACCCGUAGCUUCACUGCACUUGCUGCUCUGUGUGUCUGUUUCUGGUCCACUGUCAUUUUUAUCUCGUAUUUAUGGCUGGUCAUGUCCUUUUCUUCAUCUUUUUUUUAAACAUAUCAUCUCCUAUGGGGCGCCUGGGUGGCUCAGUGGGUUAAAGCCUCUGCCUUCGGCUCAGGUCAUGAUCCCAGGAUCCUGGGAUCGAGCCCCACAUCAGGCUCUCUGUUCCGCAGGAAGCCUGCUUCCCCCCCUUUCUCUGCCUGCCUCUCUGCCUAAUUGUGAUCUCUGUCAAAUAAUUAAAUAAAAUCUUUAAAAAACAAUACAAAAACAUAUCAUCUCCUAAUGUUUGGAGCCAGUUGGUAAUUAGGGGUAACCAGCUGUGCCGUGUUACUCUGGAAAUCUGAAUCCAACCUUCAGAUUGUUACUUUUGAGCUGCCAUUGGGAUUUUCAGGGUUAUUUCCCUCAUGGGAUCUAGAGGUAAGCUUCGGCACACAUUUGGAAGGUCACUGCAGAUCCUUUAGUCUGUCUUGAGCUUUCUUGAAUAUUUCUUCCAGGAUUUUAACUACCUCCUGAAUAUUGGCCCAUGUAUUCAAUGCUUUAUUUUGUUUGUCCUAUUUCUUCUCUAAAAGAGGAUGUUCAACUCAUUAAUACUGCGUUGCUAAGAAUACCAGGUUAGUAAUUAGUUUAGCAGUUGCUGUGGGCCAGAAACUGUUCUGAGCUUUUUUGUUUUUUUAUUUCUUUUCAGUGUAACAGAUGUGCUGAGCUUUUAAUAUGCAUUUCGUUAUAUAAUUAUCACAACCAUCUUCUUUUUUUAAAAAUUAUUUUUAUUAACAUAUAAUGUAUUAUUUGCCCCAGGGGUACAGGUCUGUGAAUCGUCAUGCUUAAACAUUUCACAGCACUCACCAUAGCACAUACCCUCCCCAAUGUCCAUAACCCAACCACCCUAUUCCUACCCCGCUUCCCCCAGCAACCAUCAGUUUGUUUUGUGAGAUUAAUUGUCUCUUAUGGUUUGUCUCCCUCCUGAUCCCAUCUUGUUUCAUUUUGUCCUUCCCUACCCCCCAAACCCUCUGCCCUGCCUCUCAAAUUCCUUGUAUCAGGGAGAUCAUAUGAUAAUUGUCUUUCUCUGAUUGACUUAUUUCACUCAGCAUAAUACCCUCUAGUUCCAUCCACGUCGUCACAAAUGGCAAGAUUUCAUUUCUUUUGAUGGCUGCAUAGUAUUCCAUUGUAUAUAUACCACAUCAUCUUUAUCCAUUCAUCUGUUGAUGGACAUCUAGGUUCUUUCCAUAGUUUGGCUCUUAUGGACAUUGCUGCUGUAAACAUUCAGGUGCAUGUGCCCCUUCGGAUCACUACAUUUGUAUCUUCAGGGUAAAUACCCAGUAUUUACUGGGUAUUUGUGGGUGAUUGCUGGGUCUUCGGGUACCUCUAUUUUCAACUUUUUGAGGAACCUCCAUGCUGUUUUCCAGAGUGGCUGCACCAGCUUGCAUUCCCACCAGCAGUGUAGGAGGGUUCCCCUUUCUCCGCAUCCUCGCCAGUAUCUGUCAUUUCCUGACUUGCUGAUUUUAGCCAUUCUGACUGGUGUGAGGUGGUAUCGCAUUGUGGUUUUGAUUUGUAUUUCCUUGAUGCCGAGCGAUGUGAGCACUUUUUCAUGUGUCUUUUGGCCAUGUGGAUGUCUUUUUUGCCAAAAUGACUGUUUAUGUCCUCUGCCCAUUUCUUGAUUGGAUUCUUUGUUCUUUGGGUGUUGAGUUUGGUAAGUUUUUUAUAGUCUUUGGAUACUAGCCCUUUAUCUGAUAUGUCAUUUGCGAAUAUUUUCUCCCAUUCUGUCAGUUGUCUUUAGUUUUGUUGACUGUUUCCUUUGCUGUGCAAAAGCUUUUGAUCUUGUUGAAGCCCCAAUAGUUCAUUUUUGCCCUUGCUUCCCUUGCCUUUGAUGAUGUUUCUAGGAAGAAGUUGCUGCAACUGAGGUCGAAGAGGUUGCUGCCUGUGUUCUCCUCAGGGAUUUUGGUGGAUUCCUGUCUCACAUUGAGGUCUUUUAUCCAUUUCGAGUCUGUUUUUGUGUGUAGUGUAAGGAAAUAGUCCAGUUUCAUUCUUCUGCAGUCACAACAGUCUUCUGAGAGGGGUGCUUUGGUCAGUCCUACUUGAGAGAGGCUGUAUGAUUUGAACAUUGCUGUGCAGCACUGUUUCUCUAAAGACUAUUUUAAAGAAUACAUUCUACUUGGUUCACCAGAGGAUGCCAAAUUGCACAUAAUUGAAUUGAGCAAGUAAAUAAAACAUUGGGAAAGAUUGAUCCAUAAUUUCGUGGCAAAUCGCCCACGAGAACAAACGGGAACUUCUCAGGCAAGGCCAGGGCGCUGGGAGGGGACUCAACACGACAGGCCAAGCAAACGAAUCCUCUCGGUGUUUUGUCAUGGGAGGUAUUUGGGAUCGGUAUUAGGGUGGUUCCUGGUUGGAGUGGAGACAGACAGGGGAGGCCUGGUUAGGAGCACUGGGUGACGCAUACAGAUCCUGGGAGCAGGGGUGACGUGGGGAGAACAGAGAGUCUCUCUGCCCGUGCUUCUUCCCUUCCCUUGCCACAGCUUGACGAAAUGACGAUUCAGUUACUGAUCCUGAGAACAUCCCUGCAGCCCUUGCAGCGGGCGGCACUGGCUGGGACCAAGGGUAGAGACAGGGCUCUCAGGGGCACAGACCAGGAGGUCAGUCCUAAGCCCAGCAGCGGUGGGGGAGCAGCACAGCAGCUGAGGCCGCCCCACCCCUGGCCGUGGGGCUCUGAGGAGUCUGCCUUGUGCUCCAUAGUUUUUCAGGAGCAGAAGUCGUGGCCCCAAAAUCAAUCACACGACAGUUCGUGCCUGUGAAUCUAACCCCAUGGGAAGCCACACUUUCAGUAAUAACAAAAUUCAGCACAAGCUCAUAGUUAGGGAUUCUCAGAUUUACAGGCUUCUGGACUGAAUACUCAAAAACCCUGACACGCAGAUUCUGCGGUAAUGAGUGAAAAUGGUGCGGUUGUUGGCCUUGGACACUGGCAAAGAGCAGGCUCCACAAUCUUGGUUAACUCUCCAUGCUCUCAACUCUGUAACCUAAUUUUACAUGAACAUUGCACGAACGUUUGUCUCUCCCCCUGGAAACGCCAGGACGGCAAGGGCCAGGUCUGCUUCCUCUCGCUGCUGUGGCCAAGGCGCCCCACACUGUGCCAGGCGUCUGCUGGACACACAGCAUUUGCCUGAAUGGAAUGAAGACAUUUUCCCACAAUGGAGCAUCGCUGAGAAACUUCUAAAUUCUCUCAGACAUUAAUCAUUUAUUAACACAGGCUGAAGUCAUAUAUGAAAUGCAAAUUCUACCACAAAAGUGAACUACGAGUGUAGCCACCAUUCAGCCUCCCAAUGUCAGUGCCACAGCCCUGCCUAUACUCCUACCAUUUCCUCUCCGAAUCGCACUCUCUCUCGUACAGAUCUACUGCGGGACAGUGAAAUACAAGCCUCGCUGCCCCUCACUUUACAGUAGAGUCUAGUCUGAGCAGCUCAGCCCAGCGUUCGAGGCUGUUUUCUGGUUCGGCGUAUCUUUCCUCGCCUGACUUCCACACGCUUCUGCCUGCACCCGGCCGUGUGCAGUUAGGCCCGCAGGACUCCUGUGCGGUGUGACCGUAAAUAGCCGAGGUCUGUCGUAUGCUUGGCCUGUCGUGUUGAGUGCCCUCCCAGCGCCCUGGCCUUGCCUGAAAAGUUCCCAUUUGUUCUUGUGGGCGUCGCUCACACGCACCUGCUCCCAAGCCACAGUCGUUCCCUGCUCCGAACCCAGUCGGAAUUACUUUUUCUACUCUCCGGGGCUCAACACGUGGGUGUGUCUUCUAAAGAAGAACACAUCAGGAAAUCUUAAAUGAGGUUCCUCUUGACCCCCGGCUGGAGUGAACCUUCUGAAUUCACCCUAGAAUGGCUUCAGUAGAGGAGCAGGAGGGACUGAAGAUUGUGAAGGUGGAGGAAGACGUGAUCUGGGACCAGGAAACCUGCCUUCGAGAGAACAGCUUUUCUACCCAGGAGGCCUCCCGCCAGCUUUUUAGGCACUUUUGUUACCAAGAGACCCCUGGGCCCCGAGAAGCGCUGAGCCGGCUGCGGGAGCUCUGCCGCCAGUGGCUGCGGCCCGAGACGCACAGCAAGGAGCAGAUCGUGGAGCUGCUGGUGCUGGAGCAGUUCCUGACCAUCCUGCCCGAGGCGCUGCAGGCCCGGGUGCGGGAGCAGCAGCCGGAGAGCGGGGAGCAGGCGGUAGCUGUGGUUGAAGAUCUGGAAAGGGAGCUUAGUGAGCCCAAGAACCAGGCCCUGGCUCACGAACAUGGCCCUUCUGAGACGCUCUCAGAGGAUGUGCCGCAUUUGAAGGCCAAGCAGGACUCGGUAGCCAUCCAGCUUCAGUCCAUCGUGACACAGCUCCAGGGUGAAUCUUUGAGUCCCCACAGACUCGGAGAACGAGGUUGUGAACCUGUACCUGAACGCCAGGAGCUGGCAUCGAAGCAGGAAGUCUUGAAGGAAGUGGAACACUUUGGAAACCGCAGACUGCCCGGAGAUGUCCCCGUAGAUUGUAAGUACAGAGAACUUUGUGCACCGCAGAGCAGAGUGGAAAAGCAGAGGGGACAGGCGGCCGGAGAGAGACGGCACAGGUGCAGUGAGUGUGGGAAAGGCUUUACUCAGAGCUCAGUCCUCGUCCAGCACCGGAGAACCCACACGGGGGAGAAGCCCUACGAGUGCGAAGAAUGCGGGAAGACCUUCAGCCAGAGGUCGGGCCUGAUCGAGCACCAGCGGAGCCACACCGGAGAGAAACCCUACAAGUGUAAGGAGUGCGGCAAAGCCUUCAGCGCCAGCAACGGCCUCAUCAGACACAGGAGGAUCCACACGGGGGAGAAGCCGUACGAGUGCGAGGCGUGCGGGAAGGCCUUCCGCCUGAGCUCGUAUCUCGCGCAGCACCAGAGGAUCCACACCGGGGAGAAGCGCUACCGCUGCCCCGAGUGCGGGAAGGCCUUCAGCCAGAACGCGGGGCUCUUCCAGCACCUGCGCGUGCACACCGGAGAGAAGCCCUACCCGUGCGGCCAGUGCGGCAAGCGCUUCAGCCGGAGAACGCUGCUCGUCAAGCACCAGAGGAGCCACACCGGCGAGCGGCCGUUCGCCUGCGAGCAGUGCGGGAAGGCCUUCGGCCACCACUGCAACCUCGUUCGGCAUUUCAGAACCCACACGGUUGCCAAGCUGGCCUCACUCCGUGCACCCCCAGACCCUUGAGUGGGGCCGUCUAGGAAAGGAAGAUUUUCGGGCGGUGUAUUUUGUUUUUACCAACUUUAUUCUGCUUUGGAACGAGGAGCUCAUCUGCAGCCUGGGCUGCGUCUCCGCGGUGACUGUGGGUGUGGCAGUUGCCUGGCAGCCUCGUCCUCCCCGACCCUCGCUUCAUUUCUGAGGAUUUCCCUAAAAAGGGACCAAAAAUUACCUGGAAAUAGAUUGGUAUGGAGGGGCUGUUCUUGAGUGAUACUCAACACCGCACAGCUCUGCAGGACUGGUAUCUGUGCGUACUCUUCAAAGGCCGGGGUCCGUGAUCAAAGGAACGAGACUGAUACAAAGCAAAGGUCAAACAAAACUUUAUUUCGCGCCAAGCGUCAAGAAUCAAACGGACCGGUCAGGACUAUCUCUUACAAAAAGGCGAGGACGAUGAUCCCGACAAGGUCACUCCCAAGAAGGCCGCUCCGGACGAGGCUGCUCUAGAUGAGGCUGCUCCGCAGAUGAGGCCGCUCCAUGAUCGGAGCCGCUCCCAAGAAGAGGCCACUCCCAAGAUGAGGCCGCUGCUCCAUGAGGUUGCUCCCCAGACAGGGCCGCUCCCAAGAAGACGCCAUUCUGGACAAGACAGCUUCCCGGACGAGGCCGCUCCCGACGACGAAGAGGCAACGAGGAUAGCGACGAUGACAAGGAGGACAACCCGGAUGACACAGACUCUGCUCCCCACGAUGCCACUCUGACAAGGCUGCCACCCAGAGGAAGCCACCGCUGCGGACGAGGCCACUCGUGGCUCGGGGUGGCGAGGCAUUUUGCCGCAAUGCUGCUGGCGGCUAGGGGCCAUUGACAUCUCAGGGCCACUGGCGUCUCGGGACCGCUGGCAUCCAGGGGCUGCAGGCGUCAGGACCGCUGACCGCUGGGCCGCUGGACCACUGGAGUCUCAGGGCCACAGUCGUCGUCAAGGGACCACUGACAACUGGACCGCUGGUGUCUGGGCAUCUCGGGGCUGCUGGAAGCUGCACGUGGCUGAAGACUGCAGGUGGCUCGGGGCCGCCGGAGGCGGGGCCUCAGGCGGCUUGAAGCUGCAGGUGGUGGCUCGGGGCCACAGGAGGCAGGACCGCCAGAGGCUGGAGACUGCCGGGGCAGGGACCGCCGGUGGUGGGACUGCUCGUGGUGGUUAUAGCUCUUACAAGAGCUGUUACAGCUCCUCCACUCCACGGACUCUUCGCUCCCGUCGACUCUUCCACUCCCACCUACUCUUCUGCUCCCGUCACAGCUCUCCUCUCUCCUGCUGGCUGCACAGCAACCUUUAUGCGGUUGGUUGAGCCCCACCCCUAUACAGGUGGCCAAUCGGAUCUCAAUUCACCCUAGUGGAUAUCCACAUGCUGCACCGAUUGGACAUCUCCACCUGGCCUGCCCCAUCCCUACAUCCGGGGUCCACAAGCAAGUUCCUCUGGGAGGGGCAGGCCCUUACAUUACCCCCUUUUCUUUGGAGAUUAGUCAAAUCCUUGACUUUUCAGAUAGUUCUAUCUUAUAUUGAACAUAUAAGACUAACAUUUUAUCGCCCCAAUUUUCUUUAGUAUAGCAACAAUAAACUUACAGUUUUUU